GGAGAUGUAGCUGAGUGGCACAGCACCUGCCUGGCAAGCACGAGGCCCUGGGUUCGAUUCCCAGUACCA
rnacentral:tRNA from 1 species